ACACACACACAUAUAAAAAAAAAUCUCUGUUGUAACUGUUGUAAAAUCACAGGGAGUAACUUUCUAUUCAUGAGGCAUGUGGCAAAACCUACUUCACAACCCAUGCUAAAAAACAUGUUCUCACACAGAAAUUCCACUUAAAAGUUUAUGGCUUCUUUGUAUGUAGAUCAAGUGUUAGAUGUGGCUAGAAAAAUUAAGUGGAUGGUAGGGAGUGUUUGUGGCUCAUUGAAUAAAACAUCAGAUGAUUGCAAACAAAGGAUGGGAUAGUAUUAGAAAUAAGACAAUAGACUAAGGUAGAUAUAAAUGAAUAAAAAUGAAUUAAGAGGCAUUUAAGAUCUUCUCAUAAAGUUUUUAAACAUUUAUUUAAACAUUGCUGUGUACUAAUGUUAAAAUGUGAAAAUCAUAAACUUCACACUUCACAUCAACCACAACACAAAACUCUCCAACAGGACCUUGUUUAUUCAUUUUCAAUUGAUUGUUGUAUAUGUUUUUUAGGGCUGGGAGGAAAGUGUGGAUGCAGCUGUCUCCCACCUCUUAAAAACGUGUCUGUCACGCAGCCCCAAAGAUCAGGCCAUCAGUUUGAGCACCGGCCCGCUAACCAUCCCAAAAGACACAUCACGCCUGAAGAAACACAUCACGCUGCUCUGUGACCGCUUGGGCAAGGGUGGCCGUCUCUCUCUCUCCUCAGAAGCCAAUGUCCCUACAACUGUCAUGAUGCCAGUUGGUUGUGAGUCCAUCCCUGAACCGAUAGUCGAGCAGGAGGAGGAAUCACCACUGCAGCAGGAAUCCGCCAAGUACAUUAAAAAGAAACAGCCAUCCAAGAAAAUCAAGAGCAAGUCAGAUUCAUCUAAAGAAUCGUCCAGAGAGAAGAAGGAGAAAGACUCCAGUAAAGAAAAGGAGCCUAAGGUGUCGUCAAACGAGUCUAAAAGAGAGUCUGCAAAAGAGUCAAAGGAACCCUCAAAGGACAAGGAGUCAACCAGAGAGAAAGAGUCAUCAAAGGAGUCUGGGAAGGAGAAGACGAAGGUGUCCAGGAAGUCCUCAGUGAAGGUCAAAGAGAAGAAGUCAGAGGCAGGAGAUAGCUGAAUACAUUGACAGCUGCUGCACUGAUACAGUUCUGAGGCUCUUUAUUAGUCGGGUUGUCUGUGUAAAGGUUAAUACCUCAUCCUGAUGUUUUGCUGUAAUUCUAGAGUUGAUAGCAUAGUGGCAGAAUUUUUUUUUUAAAAGUGCAUGUUUUCACUGUCUUUGAGGGCAAGUGGACAUGUAGGAGGGGUUUAUAUUUAAACUCAGCUGUCUGCCACUGCAGCAUGUAGUCUGUGUGUCCAUCGUCUCCUAUUGCUCAGUGUGACGUCGGAUCACGGGCACCACGAAAAAUAACCACACCAUCUUAUCUGUGCUGCCUGUCUCACUGUCUGUUUGUGUGACAUUCAGAGCUUUUUAAAUUCCAAUCCAAUUUCUGAAUUUGAAUUAUAUACAGAAUUGCAAUUCAGACUAAAAUAGAAUGAAAUUUAUAUGGACGUGUAGUUUUUAACAAUCCAUUUUAUUUAUCAGGAUGAAAGACCCAUACGAAUGUAAUCAAAUCAACUCUUGAAUUCAAAAAGAGCUGAUUCUUAAAUUCUGAAUUUUGCACAACACUGUUGUGGGUCUACAUUUGUCUCCCUUUCUUCAUGAUGCGGCAGAGUGAGACAUGCAGUUUCUUAUAAACACACACACACACACACACGCAGUCUCAUUCAUACCUAUAUAGAGAAUUCAAGGCCAUAGCAGUGGAUAAUCAUGUACAUACUAUUUUUAUAGUUUUCAUAUAUAUGUGUUCUUAGAAGUAGUAGUAGGCCUAUUUGUAGGUCAUUUUGUCUAAUGUUCCUUAUCUGUAGAAAAUUGUUUGCAUAAAACAAUGUGUAAAAUGAAUGUCAGAAUAAUCUACCUUUACAUCGUAGAAGUCAUCAGAAACAUUCAUAAUACAAAAAUAUCACAUCAUGUUACAUUUUAUAUCAAGAUUUUAAAAGUUGUACCUUUAUUAUUAUUAUUAUGUUCUUUGUUCCAGUUGUUGAAUCAAUAUUACAUUCAUACUAAAGUUUGUUAUAUAGAUUUUAAUGUGAUCUUUUGGUACCAGCUAUGUAUUCUUAGGAAACAUUUCCCUUUAAACCUGAAGCAUUAGAGAGAUCAGUCUCUCCUGUAAAUCGAUUACACUGUCAAUUGAGGCAAUAAAAAUGUCACUCAAUAAUAUAACUUACA
ensembl:lncRNA